AUCCAGCUGACGAGUCUCAAAUAGGACGAAACACGCUUCCUGGAU
rnacentral:hammerhead_ribozyme from 1 species